rnacentral:sRNA from 1 species
UGCAUCUGCAGCCCAUGAGGAAGAGAACCUCCGGGGGCAGGGAGGUUCGACUCGAGCGAAGCGAGAGAACGUUGCGCCAGCAACGGCCCGCAGGGCGAG